rnacentral:pre_miRNA from 1 species
ACAACAUUCGGACCGUCGGUCUACCGAGCAAUAUCGACCGCUCGGUGGAAGAUCUUCUUUUGUCGU